AUGAACACACAUCAAUCAUUUAUGCACCGCCAUGAAUUGCUGCUAUGUAGACAAGUUGUGUUACUGCAAAUCUGUGGGAAGAAAAACAAGAUUUUUCUUGUUAGUUUAGUGACAAUGGAUUCCAAUCUCAAGAUGUUAGUUCGAGGCUGACCCCAUGGCAAGUACAGUAAGCGUCCAAGCAACGCCAGCAAUCGAAGCUGCCGACGGGAAGCUACUAGCGUUCCACGAUCGGAUAUGGUUGAUGCCGGCAAUAGCCGAUGCUACACCGACUACUCCGGCUAGCAUAGCGAAUGUCACAAAGAAUCCGGUGGCAGCAUUUCCCAUGGGGAAGUAUAUGGGUGAGAAAUCCGCUGGAAGCUUGAAUCCAGGUCCUGCAGGGUUCAAACCGGCUAAGUAUCUGAAUGCAAUUUAUAGAGCUAAAGACAGGAGGAUCAGAGUCGACUUACCAAUGAUGAAACCAUAAUCGAUGGCUCUAUUCACAGCCCAUGCACCAAUGCCUAAAACAAUGGAAUACAUGCAGAAAUUGAGGAACAAAAGCAGUGCAGCAACAGGUUUCAUUUGAGCACUGGCCAUUGCAGUUGAAUGAUUCCUACAACCAAUAAUGAUUAUCAAAGGUACAUGUGAUUGUUGCAUAUUAGAGGGUGAUAGAUAGAUAUAAUGAAACCAAAUGAAGGGGUUAGGUUGCUUUCUUGCAAAGGCUGCUGGUUUCUAAAGGUGUCUGUAGAGUUGUAAAAAGCGUGCUUCUUGCUCAAGGCAAAAGAA